rnacentral:rRNA from 1 species
UACGGAGGGUGCAAGCGUUAUCCGGAUUCACUGGGUUUAAAGGGUGCGUAGGUGGGUCUGUAAGUCAGUGGUGAGAUCUCCGGGCUUAACCCGGAAACUGCCAUUGAUACUAUAGGUCUUGAAUUAUCUGGAGGUGAGCGGAAUAUGUCAUGUAGCGGUGAAAUGCUUAGAGAUGACAUAGAACACCAAUUGCGAAGGCAGCUGGCUACACAUAUAUUGACACUGAGGCACGAAAGCGUGGGGAUCAAACAGG